rnacentral:rRNA from 1 species
UACGUAGGGGUGCGAGCGUUAAUCGGAAUUACUGGGCGUAAAGCGUGCGCAGGCGGUUUUGUAAGACAGGUGUGAAAUCCCCGGGACCGUUAACCUGGGAACUGCAUUUGUGACUGCAUCGCUGGAGUGCGGCAGAGGGGGAUGGAAUUCCGGCGUGUAGCAGUGAAAUGCGUAGAUAAUGCGGAGGAACACCGAUGGCG